rnacentral:rRNA from 1 species
UACGUAGGGGGCAAGCGUUGUCCGGAUUUAUUGGGCGUAAAGAGCGUGUAGGCGGCCAGAUAGGUCAGCUGUGAAAACUCGAGGCUCAACCUCGAGAUGUCGGCUGAAACCAUCUGGCUAGAGUCCGGAAGAGGAGAAUGGAAUUCCCGGUGUAGCGGUGAAAUGCGCAGAUAUCGGGAAGAACACCCGUGGCGAAGGCGGUUCUCUGGGACGGUACUGACGCUGAGACGCGAAAGCCAGGGGAGCGAACGGG